rnacentral:rRNA from 1 species
GAUGAACGCUGGCGGCGUGCUUAACACAUGCAAGUCGAACGAUGAAGCCCAGCUUGCUGGGUGGAUUAGUGGCGAACGGGUGAGUAACACGUGAGUAACCUGCCCCUAACUCUGGGAUAAGCCUGGGAAUCUGGGUCUAAUACCGGAUAGGAGCGUCCACCGCAUGGUGGGUGUUGGAAAGAUUUAUCGGUUUUGGAUGGACUCGCGGCCUAUCAGCUUGUUGGUGAGGUAAUGGCUCACCAAGGCGACGACGGGUAGCCGGCCUGAGAGGGUGACCGGCCACACUGGGACUGAGACACGGCCCAGACUCCUACGGGAGGCAGCAGUGGGGAAUAUUGCACAAUGGGCGCAAGCCUGAUGCAGCGACGCCGCGUGAGGGAUGACGGCCUUCGGGUUGUAAACCUCUUUCAGUAGGGAAGAAGCGAAAGUGACGGUACCUGCAGAAGAAGCACCGGCUAACUACGUG